UGGGGAUGAUUUUGAAAAAGAAUUUAUUUUUGGCUCAAAUGGGGUGACAAUGGAUAUAUAUUUUUUGCUUUUUAGAUAAAGUCAAGAAGGCCACACAUCAUUUUGAACUCUGAUUGCUUUAUUUUCAAAAGAUUAAUUUUGCGACUGGAUGAACUCAACAUGAGUUGCAUUUUUUUUCUUUUUGAAAGUUUUUUUUUUUCAAUCUAGUGGGCUUAUUCUUCUUUUUUUAUUUUGAUUUUUUUUUUCAAUGGAUUCAGGGAUCACCCUACUAGCACAAGCAAGAAGUCUUUUGGCCAGACCAAAUUGCCACAGUGUAAAGGUUUUUGCUACUG
rnacentral:lncRNA from 1 species